rfam:Salmo salar isolate Sally breed double haploid chromosome ssa02, whole genome shotgun sequence.
GUGGCUUAGUAGGUCGAGCAUGGUGCUUGCAAUGCUAGGGUUGUGGGUUCAAUUCCCAUC